CAGUCAUUCUGGUGGCAGGGCACAGAGCAGUGCCUCUGGGGUUUCUGGUUCAGGGCACCUGUCCCUGAGCAUCUGGGGAACAGAGAAGCUGGGGUUGACUGUUUUGUUUGGGGCUCUUUCCGGCCCUUGGAAAAGCUAGGCGGGCCUAACUACAAGGAAGAUGAAGAGAUGACAGGAACCACUGGCCAGGCCGUGACUCUGCAGCCAGACAUCACAGCGGGCUGGACUUGGAUCCUCCUGACGGCACCUGGACUCGCUGGCCUGGAGACAGCGCCCCCUGCAGCUUGUUCCCAGGAUGCUUGGAACCCUUGCCAUUGAGAUGCAGAAAUCCCACUUUGUGGAACGGUGACAAAGAUGAAACCCGAGAUCAAGAGGAGUUACCAGGCUCCCAGCCAUAGGACGCCUGAGAUGGACAGACUGGAAAGCAAAAUGCAAAGGAAGGAAGCAACGCGGCGGAAGUCGCGGCCUCUGGAGGAUGGGGCGUAAAAUUCAAAUUAGUCAGAGAUGAUUUUGGAACUUGAUCUACAACACUUCCUUCUCCUGGCCUGGGUCAAUUGCUACAGAAUUGUCCAUGUGCAUUUAUGGUCUUUCCAAGAAACCUACCACAAUUCCUAGCACAGGGGAGCCUCGGAGAGUUGGCAACCUUGUCUUUGGAAGAGCAUGUAUGAGAAAAGUUCAAAUGCAGCCACGAAGAAAAGCAUGCAUGUCUAGCUCAGCACCGAUGGAAACAGAAUGCCGUGAGUUUAUGUUAAAGGAACAAACUGCACCCGCUCCUGGACAAGGGCUGGGCUAGGGCAGGAACAAAUGGAAGUGUUCUCUUGGGGACUUGGAUUUAUUCACUCAACAAAUAAAUUGAGUGUGUCUA